GUGAGCCGAGGGUAAAACCAACGUGUAAGGGUUCGAUUGUGAUCCCGGGAAAACAAUCGGGGUUGGUUCUAGUCGGUGAGCCUGGGAAAACCGACCGAGUUCGUUAUGAGCUCGUAAAACAACAAGUUUGGUUGUGAGCUUAGAAAACAACCGGCUGUAAUCCAAGGGGUUAUAGUGAAUUCCCAAGUGAGACUUGGGGAGUGGACGUAGGAGCAA
rnacentral:lncRNA from 1 species